rnacentral:rRNA from 1 species
AUUGAACGCUGGCGGGAGGCCUAACACAUGCAAGUCGAACGGAGUGGCGAACGGGUGAGUAAUGCAUCGGAAUCUGCCCGGUAGUGGGGGAUAACGACGGGAAACGGGAGCUAAUACCGCAUACUAUCAGAUGAGCCGAGGUCGGAUUAGCUAGUUGGGGGGGUAAAGGCCUACCAAGGCGACGAUCCGUAACUGGUUUGAGAGGAUGAUCAGUCACACCGGAACUGGGACACGGCCCAGACUCCUACGGGAGGCAGCAGUGGGGAAUUUUGGACAAUGGGGGAAAGCCUGAUCCAGCCAUGCCGCGUGUGUGAUGAAGGUCUUCGGGUUGUAAAGCACUUUUGGUAGGGAAGCGUUACCAGCAGAAUAAGCACCGGCUAACUUCGUGCCAGCAGCCGCGGUAAUUC